AUUGAACGCUGGCGGCAGGCCUAACACAUGCAAGUCGAGCGGAUGAAGGGAGCUUGCUCCUGGAUUCAGCGGCGGACGGGUGAGUAAUGCCUAGGAAUCUGCCUGGUAGUGGGGGAUAACGUCCGGAAACGGGCGCUAAUACCGCAUACGUCCUGAGGGAGAAAGUGGGGGAUCUUCGGACCUCACGCAAUCAGAUGAGCCUAGGUCGGAUUAGCUAGUUGGUGGGGUAAAGGCCUACCAAGGCGACGAUCCGUAACUGGUCUGAGAGGAUGAUCAGUCACACUGGAACUGAGACACGGUCCAGACUCCUACGGGAGGCAGCAGUGGGGAAUAUUGGACGAUGGGCGAAAGCCUGAUCCAGCCAUGCCGCGUGUGUGAAGAAGGUCUUCGGAUUGUAAAGCACUUUAAGUUGGGAGGAAGGGCAGUAAGUUAAUACCUUGCUGUUUUGACGUUACCAACAGAAUAAGCACCGGCUAACUUCGUG
rnacentral:rRNA from 1 species